UUCGAGUGGCGGACGGGUGAGUAACGCGUGGGUAACCUGCCUUACACAGGGGGAUAACACCUGGAAACAGGUGCUAAUACCGCAUAAGCGCACAGGACCGCAUGGUCCGGUGUGAAAAACUCCGGUGGUAUGAGAUGGACCCGCGUCUGAUUAGCUGGUUGGCGGGGUAACGGCCCACCAAGGCGACGAUCAGUAGCCGACCUGAGAGGGUGGCCGGCCACAUUGGGACUGAGACACGGCCCAAACUCCUACGGAAGGCAGCAG
rnacentral:rRNA from 1 species